UACGUAGGGUGCGAGCGUUGCCCGGAUUUAUUGGGCGUAAAGGGCGCGUAGGCGGCCACGCACGUCCGUUGUGAAAUCGCCCGGCUCAACUGGGCGGGGUCAGCGGAUACGGUGUGGCUAGAGCAAGCUAGGGGGCAAUGGAAUUCCCGGUGUAGUGGUGGAAUGCGUAGAUAUCGGGAGGAACACCAGUGGUGAAGGCGGUUGCCUGGAGCUUUGCUGACGCUGAUGCGCGAAAGCGUGGGGAGCGAUCCGG
rnacentral:rRNA from 1 species